AUUGAACGCUGGCGGCAGGCCUAACACAUGCAAGUCGAACGAGUGGCGGACGGGUGAGUAAUGUAUGGGAAACUGCCCGAUGGAGGGGGAUAACUAAUGGAAACGGUAGCUAAUACCGCAUACCCUCGGAUGUGCCCAUAUGGGAUUAGCUAGUAGGUGGGGUAAAGGCUCACCAAGGCGACGAUCCCUAGCUGGUCUGAGAGGAUGACCAGCCACACUGGGACUGAGACACGGUCCAGACUCCUACGGGAGGCAGCAGUGGGGAAUAUUGCACAAUGGGCGCAAGCCUGAGGCAGCCAUGCCGCGUGUAUGAAGAAGGCCUUAGGGUUGUAAAGUACUGUCAGCGGGGAGGCGUUACCCGCCGAAGAAGCACCGGCUAACUCCGUGCCAGCAGCCGCGGUAAUUC
rnacentral:rRNA from 1 species